CCUACGGGGGGCUGCAGUCGAGAAUCAUUCACAAUGGGGGAAACCCUGAUGGUGCGACGCCGCGUGGGGGAAUGAAGGUCUUCGGAUUGUAAACCCCUGUCAUGUGGGAGCAAAUUAAAAAGAUAGUACCACAAGAGGAAGAGACGGCUAACUCUGUGCCAGCAGCCGCGGUAAUACAGAGGUCUCAAGCGUUGUGCGGAAUCACUGGGCGUAAAGCGUGCGUAGGCUGUUUCGUAAGUCGUGUGUGAAAGGCGCGGACUCAACCCGCGGACGGCACAUGAUACUGCGAGACUAGAGUAAUGGAGGGGGAACCGGAAUUCUCGGUGUAGCAGUGAAAUGCGUAGAUAUCGAGAGGAACACUCGUGGCGAAGGCGGGUUCCUGGACAUUAACUGACGCUGAGGCACGAAGGCCAGGGGAGCGAAAGGGAUUAGAUACCCCAGUAGUC
rnacentral:rRNA from 1 species